AUUGAACGCUGGCGGCAGGCCUAACACAUGCAAGUCGAACGGUAGCACAGAGAGCUUGCUCUCGGGUGACGAGUGGCGGACGGGUGAGUAACGUCUGGGAAACUGCCCGAUGGAGGGGGAUAACUACUGGAAACGGUAGCUAAUACCGCAUAACGUCGCAAGACCAAAGUGGGGGACCUUCGGGCCUCACACCAUCGGAUGUGCCCAGAUGGGAUUAGCUAGUAGGUGGGGUAAUGGCUCACCUAGGCGACGAUCCCUAGCUGGUCUGAGAGGAUGACCAGCCACACUGGAACUGAGACACGGUCCAGACUCCUACGGGAGGCAGCAGUGGGGAAUAUUGCACAAUGGGCGCAAGCCUGAUGCAGCCAUGCCGCGUGUAUGAAGAAGGCCUUCGGGUUGUAAAGUACUUUCAGCGGGGAGGAAGGCGGUGAAGUUAAUAGCUUCACCGAUUGACGUUACCCGCAGAAGAAGCACCGGCUAACUCCGUGCCAGCCGCCGCAGUAA
rnacentral:rRNA from 1 species